GAGCCGGAGUAGACGGAUCCGCGGCUGCACCAAACCACUGCCCCUCGGAGCCUGGUAGUGGGCCACAAGCCCCCAGUCCCAGAGGCGUGAUUUUCUGGCAUCCUUAAAUCUUGUGUCGAGGAUUGAUUAUAACCAGAAACCAUGACGGCAGCUGAGAAUGUGUGCUACACGUUAAUUAACGUGCCAAUGGAUUCAGAACCACCAUCUGAAAUUAGCUUAAAAAAUGACCUAGAUUCAUGCAGUCUGCAUUAACUCAAUUGGUUAGGAACCAGAAAUCUAAUCCAGUGCCUUCAUAUUAUAUAUAAAGAGUCUGAUUUCCAGAGAUAAAUGACUUGAGCAAAGACAGCUUAUUUGGUGGAGAACCCUUGUCACUUGGAAAAAGGAGACGUAAAGUCAAAGACUGAAGCUUUGAAGAAAGUGAUCAUUAUGAUUCUGAAUGGUGAAAAGCUUCCUGGACUUCUGAUGACCAUCAUUCGUUUUGUGCUACCUCUUCAGGAUCACACUAU
rnacentral:sRNA from 1 species